CCAUUUUACCCCUAAAUACUUUUCUAAAAUUCUUUUUUUUUCUUCGUUUGAUCUCUCUACCUUUUUUGUUGGCCCUUUGGCGUGGAAGAACCUAAUGUUCUCCAAUUUUCGGUAACAGAGCACCGUACGAGGUGGUCGAAAACAUAUCUUUUUUUAACCAAAACCUUUCAUUUUUCUUCGUCUUAUUUUCUUUUGAAAAUUAUUUCCAAAACCCUUCUGUUUUACUUUUUAUUCUAAAAUAAAUCCCAUUUUUAAAAAAAGAAAAGAAAAGAAAUUUGAAUUCCCUUUUUCUUUGUGGAUCUAGUGAGAUUAGAAGCAAAAAAAAUCCCAUCGUGAUUAGGGUUUAAAAACUCUAGGAUUUUGCAUUCAUCAGGGUCUUCUCAGCUUCUUCUCUAUUGAAAUCGAAUAAAAAAAAAUCCUUUUUUAGUCAAAAAAAUUUAUUUUCCUUGCUCACAUCUUUCUCAAGCACACACCAAAAAUAACAAAAAAAAAAAAAAAAAACCCUUGGUGGGUGCCUGUGUAUUUUAUGUAUUCUGACUUCUAAGAUGGUAUAUUUUGUGUGUGGUGUUUUUCCUAUCUGUGUGUUCUCUUUUUUAUAGAUUAGCAAAAUAAAAUUGAAUCUUCAAAAAUAUAUACUUUUUAAUUUGGUUUUCUCCCAGGAAGAUAAACCGAUUAAAUAUAUAAUUAUAAAAAUACAUAAUAACUACUAAUUAAUCCCCGCGGUCUCAAACCAAUUGUUUCAAAACCCUAAGGGGGCGUUUGGUUGGGGGAAUAGGCAUGCAUUCCCCCUAUUUUGCUGGGCGUUUGGUUGCCCGUAAUGCUAUUACGGCCCGAUUCGGUUACGGGGCUCUUACCUCCAUUGGCUGUAAUAGCCAUUCCCCUCAUUGAAGUGGCGAUUAGGGAUUCCGCCCUUGUUUCCUAUUUUCUAUUCCAUUCUCUGCCCUCAUCUACCUUCCGUUCCAUCAAUUCUCCGACGUUUCCCUUCAAGAGUCAUGAAAUACUGGUAAUGCCCCUUAGAUAAUAAUCGAAGCAUACAAACAGAUAGAGACUAAAGAGAGUAAUUACCACUCCUAACUCAUCUGGAUACAACCCACGGUUUGAGAGCCGGCUUUCCCUUCCAAUUUCGGCACGUUUCCCUUCCAUUUUGCAAGACAUUUAUUGUUUUGUGCAGCUAAAUCAGCUAAUGUAGAGAAGGAGAUGAAACAAGUAAACAUUAAACCAAGUCUUGAUGUCCGCCUUAGUGAUUUGAAGCUUGUUUUAGGACCAGAACUGAGGAUAGUUUAUCCUUUGAUUCUAAACUUUACUGUUAGUGGGGAACUCGAGUUGAAUGGCCAAGCUCAUCCCAAAUGGAUUAAACCCAAGGGCAUUUUAACAUUUGAGAAUGGUGAUGUGAAUCUUGUUGCAACUCAACUAAGAUCUCCUGUGCGUUCACAUUACUCUUCUACAUUAACAUUUAAUGAAUUAUUAUUCGUAAAUGAUGAUCAAAUAAUUUCUUGUUUUUGCUUUAUACAAUGAAUUAGCCUGUGUGUUAAGGAAGGAUAAAGUUAGACCAUUCAGAAACUGAAAUAUUUUUCUUCCCCAUGCUGUGCAAAUUUGCUUGAUACGGAAUGAGAAAGUUGAAUCUAUCAUAUAGUUUACUUUUUGCCAAUUGUGCUCCAUCGGUCUAACAACGUAGUUGUCCAGUGUAGUAGGGAAUGCAUAAGGUUAGCCGGCAUAAGCCAGAUGGAGGCUAGUGUAUGCCCCACAAAUCCCUAGUCUGCUCUCUGUUGAUCCUACGGCUGAUCCUCUCAAAUCUUUAGCCAGUAAUAUAUCCUUCGGUACAGAAGUUGAAGUCCAGCUUGGUAAACGUCUGCAGGCCUCCAUAGUUAGGCAGUUGAAAGACUCAGAGAUGGCUAUGCAAUGGACCUUGAUUUACCAGCUUACAAGUCGGCUACGUGUGAUCCUACAAUCUGCUCCUUCCAAACGCCUUCUUUUCGAGUAUUCUGCUACCUCGCAAGACAAACCCAUGAUCGUGCUUUUCUCUUUUUUUGCCAAACCUGCUAUCUGCCACCGGCCAGCUAAAACUGGGCCUGUAUGGGUAAAAGUUGCCUACCUUUGAAGUUGAAAGGAGAACAAAAGAGGUGUAAGGAAAGGGUGGUAGUUUUUUUCAUUAAAAUGUAGAGGUAGUUUUUUUUUUUGGCCAAAAUAAAGGUAGGUUUUUUGUUACUUAUUCUUUGCUGGGAAAAUUCCAUGAACUUGCUUAUGUUUUAUCUUUCAUCUUUGUACAGAUGUAUAUAUAAUAUAGAAUAUCAUAGUUUCUUCAAGUGGAAAAUCAAUGGUAUUUCGUUUUUAAAUGUAA